UUCAUAGGAAAAUCCAAAACAAACCCGAAUGAUGAAUUUUGAAAGUGGUGAUCAAUCUGCUGUCCAAUUACGACCACUUCUUGUUGAUGAUGAUACACUGCAGCAAUUGGGAGAUGAAUCUAAGAGAAUGAUAUUAAAGACUUGUUGACGAUGCGAUGGCUUGAUGUGACCAUAUUACAAAUAUUCAUAAUAUGUCUUAGUCGGAUGUGCUCCAAAAUUGGAGUUCAUACAAUUGGAUUCCUCUGCCCAAGGACUAUUUGUGCUGCCUCUGUACUUGCAGAUAUUGAUAAGGUCACAAAAUAUCUUGUGAAUGCCAUGGUUGAACAGACGAAUCGACACUUCAUUUUAGC